UACGGAGGGUGCAAGCGUUAUCCGGAUUCACUGGGUUUAAAGGGUGCGUAGGUGGCUUUGUAAGUCAGUGGUGAAAGCCCGGAGCUCAACUCCGGAACUGCCAUUGAAACUGUGAGACUUGAGUACGAGAGAGGUGAGUGGAAUUCCCAGUGUAGAGGUGAAAUUCGUAGAUAUUGGGAAGAACACCGGUGGCGAAGGCGGCUCACUGGCUCGUAACUGACGCUCAGGCGCGACAGCGUGGGGAUCAAACAGG
rnacentral:rRNA from 1 species